rnacentral:rRNA from 1 species
UACGAAGGGGGCUAGCGUUGUUCGGAUUUACUGGGCGUAAAGCGCACGUAGGCGGAUUGUUAAGUCGGGGGUGAAAUCCUGGAGCUCAACUCCAGAACUGCCUUCGAUACUGGCGAUCUUGAGUCCGGAAGAGGUGAGUGGAACUCCUAGUGUAGAGGUGGAAUUCGUAGAUAUUAGGAAGAACACCAGUGGCGAAGGCGGCUCACUGGUCCGGUACUGACGCUGAGGUGCGAAAGCGUGGGGAGCAAACAGG